CACUAGAACGAGAACCUUCUGAGCUGCGAUAUUGAUAGGCUACCAUAUUAAGACAUUUAAAAUAAAAUAAAAAUAUUCAUUUCCCCAGAGUGGAUAAAAAGUAACCUGUAAGUAGCCUAUCCCAACGUGUCAAAUUUAAUAGUGUGCUCUCACCUGAACAGUGCUGCAGUCCAUAACAUUAUUAUUAACCCGGAUUCAGGUUACAAGAUUGGAAGUGGAGAUGUUGGGAAAACAUUUUCUCUGGGUUUGUCUCCUUUCGGUGUCAAUUCCGUUAUGUUUCGCCGAAGACCUGAAGAGGGAUGCGCACAUACAGCAUGAAAAUGAUUCAGUUUGGAGCCAAGGGAAACCCGGAAGACUGUUUGCCAGGAGACGGAUUUUGCCACAUCAGGGACAGCACCACGUUGCAUUUCAGAAACACGAGCCUGUAGCCCCUGCCCGGCGGUGUGGCCGUCUGAUGGAUAGCUGUGCCCCUCACACUCCCUGCUGUGACCCCUGUGCCUCCUGCCGCUGUCGCCUCUUCAACACCAUCUGCCACUGCUGGAGACUGGGCCCACACUGCCCCAAGAAGACCUAGACAAACACACACACACACACACACACACACACACACACACACACACACACACACACACACACACACACACACACACACACACACACACACACACACACACACAAUACACAAUACACAAUACACAACACAUACAACACACUCCACACAUACACACACACACACACACACCACACACACACACACACACACACACACACACACACACACACACACACACAUACACACACACACACACACACAUAAUACACACCACACACACAAUACACACCACACACCAUAUACACCACACACACACACACACAACUCUUCACCACAUAUACACACACACGACUGCCACUGUUGGAAACUGGGCCAGCACUGCCCCUAGAGGAACCAGAGACCCUGUACAGGCAAACACACACACUCACACAUACACAUCUCACAGAGACUGCUAGACAUCACACUGAUGCACUUGCACAGGUAAACACAUACGGAUCCAAAACCUGGACAUACUACACAGAUAUAUAUGCUUAAAUGUUUUGGACCUGAUGAAUGACACAUCACAUAUCGCAAGGCCCACAAUAUAGGUUCAAUGACACAUCACAUAUCGCAAGGCCCACAAUAUAGGUUCAAUGACACAUCACAUAUCGCAAGGUCCACAAUAUAGGUUCAAUGACACAUCACAUAUCGCAAGGUCCACAAUAUAGGUUCAAUGACACAUCACAUAUCGCAAGGCCCACAAUAUAGGUUCAAUGACACAUCACAUAUCGCAAGGUCCACAAUAUAGGUUCAAUGACACAUCACAUAUCGCAAGGUCCACAAUAUAGGUUCAAUGACACAUCACAUAUCGCAAGGUCCACAAUAUAGGUUCAAUGACACAUCACAUAUCGCAAGGUCCACAAUAUAGGUUCAAUGACACAUCACGUAUCGCAAGGUCCACAAUAUAGGUUCAAUGACACAUCACGUAUCGCAAGGUCCACAAUAUAGGUUCAAUGACACAUCACGUAUCGCAAGGCCCACAAUAUAGGUUCAAUGACACAUCACGUAUCGCAAGGUCCACAAUAUAGGUUCAAUGACACAUCACGUAUCGCAAGGUCCACAAUAUAGGUUCAAUGACACAUCACGUAUCGCAAGGCCCACAAUAUAGGUUCAAUGACACAUCACAUAUCGCAAGGCCCACAAUAUAGGUUCAAUGACACGUCACAUAUCGCAAGGCCCACAAUAUAGGUUCAAUGACACGUCACAUAUCGCAAGGCCCACAAUAUUGGUUCAAUGACACAUCACAUAUCGCAAGGCCCACAAUAUUGGUUCAAUGACACAUCACGUAUCGCAAGGCCCACAAUAUUUUCUAUGUAUGUAUAUAAACGAUGUAUGGAUGUGUUGUGGAUAUGUAACAGUAUAUGUUUCCUGCACAACUGUAUUAAUUCAGCUUUUGUAUAAUUGUGCUACUGUAGAUUGUAGGUCAUGUCGAGCCAAUGCUAACCCAUAAAAACAUCAAAUAACUUCCACAAACAUCCUCUCUAUAUUUUCUCUAUUGAAUAAAUAACUUUGUUAGCCUCACUCAUCUACUUUUUUAUUGCUAUUCUCACCAGUUAUCCCUGCUGGCAAAACAUAUUGCUGUAUGCUCAAUAACAGGUUUUGCUGCUGUGGUUACAUAUAUUUUGAAAUUACUAGCAAACUCCCCAGUGGAUUAAAGUGGAUAUAAGGUAGUGAGAGCUUGGGGCAGCAGCGUAGAAAGGGAUAGCUUUGUGGCUGGGCAUAAGUAAGGCUAGGCAUAAGUACAAGUGGCUGGGCUAACAUUUUCCGGCAAAAAUACCUGACAUAUUUAAGUGAACAUUUGUGCAUCACAUUGGAUUAUUUAAAACAUAAUACAGGAUAAAUGUAACUAAAAACUACCACAGUGCGAACUACGCAACCGCUUACUACAACACUGCUGACAAAGCAGGCCGAUUGCCUGAGUCCAACAGUAAGGAAACAUAAUGAAAUACACAACAUGUCUAUAACCUACAUACUCAAGAGAGAGAGAGAGAAACAAACAAACAAACAAACAAAAAAAAGAUGAAAGAUUUUACAGCAGCAGACAAGUGAUACAAUUGGAAAAAUGUUACUGUCACAAAAUACAGAUAAUGGGCUAGAUUGUUGAGACGAUCUGAUUGAUGUCUUGAUACGGCCUGUAGUGAAGAAGAGUCUCUCUACACUACAUAAAGUCACUGGAAGGGUGAUGAUGGUCCUUAGUAGCCUAUUGAUGUGAGGGAAAAUGUCCAGGGAUUUGAAUUCCUGCCCUCCCCCCAACUUUCCGACGCAGUUGCUGAAUAAACACGGUUAAUUCAGCAUUCUCAUCAGAUACAUGAUAGUGAUUGCAUAGGUCCAGCAGUGAUUCUUUCAGUAAUCCUAGACGCUGGCAGACAGGACGCUGCUGCUCUCAUUAUUCCAUAUGGAUCCUCCUGGAACUGGGUGUGCAGCUCAGUCAAACGGAUAGAGACAUAUAUAAGGAUUGGAAGCACCCCAAUUAGAUCCCAGGAGCCUCCUGCAUUUUUCUAAAUUUCCAAUUAGUCAGGAGACAAUACAAAACGACAAAUCAAAUUCAUUUAUUUCAUUUGAUAUUUAUUUUAAGCCAGCCUGAUUGGCUAGUGCCCGGCCCUGAAUAGAGAAUAAGUUGUAAUAAAUGAUAACAAAACAAUUCUCCAUGUGAAUGUAGCUGGGUUGCCAGGACGGGUGGUUAAUAGACCGGCGAAGUUGAGCACCGGAGAGGGGGGAGCGGGAGUAGACAUGACAGUAGCCUGUAACCAGUCUAUAGCCUUUAGCAGCAGUGGAAGGAGAGUCAUUCAAGAUGUCCGUUCUCCCCCCCCCCCCCCCCCCCCCACACACACACACACAAAGUUCAGUGUAAAAUCAUCAAAGUGUAGUCCAGAGGUGUACUCUCUGAUAGGCAUGGUGCAAUACAGUCACACACAGUCACACAUUAUCAAGUCCCUCGAUUGAGCACCUGAUUCCCCUUUUUGUUCAAACUGGGCUGAAGCGUGUUUGGGUACGCUUUCAUUCUAUUAGUCACACAUACCUCGCUGAGAGCUGGUUCACACAGUGAUACAUUCACCAAGAGAACAGAGACCGCAGGCUCCACGACAUUACCCUUAUUCCUCUCAUUACUGUAACUUCAAGAUUUAUUCUCUCAAGAUGUAUGUGUCAAAUUGUUCCCUCAGGACAAAUGCUAACUAGACAACCAUGCAGAUCUGUGUGUGUGGCUCGCAUCUUGGUCCAAUUUCCAAUUGAAAAUGACAUGCAAUGGUUUAGAGAAAAGUUUAUGAAUCUUAAAGACUUAGAGAAAAUAUAAAUAAUUGUCUUGUUACUUCUUUCUUCUGUUGUUAAGCUUUGUGGUCAGAGGUCAUUAUAUGACUGCUAACAUUGUCUGUCAGGUGGUGAAAACAGUGUUUUCCCCUUGAUCGACCCCAGAGUUGACAUGGGAUUUUUUUUUUUUUACUUCAGUAUUGUGGAUGUUUUAAAAAAUAUUUUCUGUUUUCUGUUAUUGCAAACCACACAAAUCCUAAGUUUAGGAAAACAAUAUGCUAUUACUCAUGGGUGUGGGGAGGUGAGCCGCAUUCUGUCCAGCAACAUUUAUGUCCAUUUAGGUGACCCCUUUUCACUCAAAAGAAUCCCCGGAGGCACAAUUUCUUUACAGCCUCUUUAAAAACAUCACUCUUAUCUUGCUCACAUUUUUCUGCAGUUAAAGAUAACCUGCAUAAACAUCUGCAUAUGGUUGAUUUUGCAAAUACAGGCACUUUUGGAUGUUAAAUGUUUUUGAAAACUAAACCGCUUGGAACUGAUUUUUAUCUAUCUGAAUAUUUUCUUCAUUCUGGAAACAAGUUCCAAUAGUGUCUGAGAACAUACUAUUUAAGAAUAUAAAGAAUACCAGAGGGGAAAUGUCAUUACCACCACGUCAUAAAAUGUGCUAUUUUAGUUUAAAGGAUAUUACAGAAAUGUUGCUUUAGAUAUUUUAUAGAACAUUUCAGAAGAUUUUUGUUAAAUCGUGCUUUCUUUUACUAUUUAGAAAUGUUCUUAUUUAUAUGUAUUCAUCAUUGUCAUGUAUAAAUGUCCAUAUAUGCCUCGAUAAUACUCAAAAACAUAUAUUUACCACAUCAAAAUGUUUACAUUUUACAUUAUUUUAGGAAUUAUCUUAAGAACAAGCAUAUAAUCUUCACUUAUGGGAAAAAUCAUCCAUAUCAAUUGUAAUUGAAUAACACCUUUUCCUCAAAAAUAUGUACCGUCAUGGUAAUGCCUUAGCGUUGUGGUAAUGGCAGAGUGCGGUGGAAAUUACAUUUCAAAUUAAACAACUGAUGAAAAAUACCAUUAAACAUUUUAAAUGUCA